rnacentral:rRNA from 1 species
UCCGACUGUUUAACAAAAACAUAACCUUUAGCCUAAACAAGUAUUAAAGGCAACGCCUGCCCAGUGAAUAAUUAAACGGCCGCGGUACCCUAACCGUGCAAAGGUAGCGUAAUCACUUGUCUAUUAAUUGUAGACCCGUAUGAAAGGCAAAAUGAGGGCCUAACUGUCUCUUAUAAUAAAUCAAUUAAACUGAUCUCCCAGUACAAAAGCUGGAAUACCAACAUAAGACCAGAAGACCCUGUGAAGCUUAAACUAAACUAUUAAAACACAUAAUAACUACUUUCGGUUGGGGCGACCUUGGAAAAAAAAAGAACUUCCAAUAGGCCAACAAGCCUAACACCAGACCCAGCACAGCUGACAAUUGAACCAAGUUACUCCAGGGAUAACAGCGCUAUCUUCCUCAAGAGCCCAUAUCAAAAGGAAGGUUUACGACCUCGAUGUUGGAUCAGGACAUCCUAAUGGUGCAGCCGCUAUUAAGGGUUCGUUUGUUCAACGAUUAAUAGUCCYACGUGAUCUGAGUUCAGACCGGAGA